rnacentral:sRNA from 1 species
AUUAGAUGUCAUGUCUAUGAGUGAGUAUGACAACUAGAACCGUAACCGGACCUUAAAAUCCUAAGUAUUGAAUCUUUGUAAGAAGAUACAAAGACAAAGACUCUUACGGACUUCGGCUACACUAUCAAUGCUUUGAGAAGAAAGAAGAAGCUUGGUUAGUGUUUUGGAUUCAAAUAUGACUUGAUGUCAUGUGUAUGACUGAGUAUAAAGACUAUAACCGCUACGGAUCUUAAAAGCCUAAGUACUGUAUCCUUGUUCGAAGAUACAAAGACAAAUACUCAUAUGCACUUCGGCUAAACCAUCAAAGCUUUGAAAAGCAAGAAGAAGCUUGGUUAGUGUUUUUGAGUGAAAUAUGACUAGAUGUCAUGUGUAACAGUGAGUAUAACAAUUAGAACCGCAAUUGGAUUUUAAAAGCCUAAGUAUUGUAUCCUUGUUAGAAGAUACAAAGACAAACACUCAUACGAACUUCGUCAACACCAUCAAAACUUUGAGAAGAAGAAGCUUGGUUAAUGUUUUGGAGUCGAAAAAUAACUUGAUGUGAUGUGUAUGAUUAAGUAUAAGAACUUAAACCGCAACCGGAGCUUAAAAGCCUAAGUAGUGUUUCCUUGAUAGAAGAUACAAAGGCAUAGACUCAUACGGAGUUUAGCUACACCAUCAAAGCUUUGAGAAGUAAGAAGAAGCUUGGUUACUGUUUAUGAGUCAAAUAUGACUAGAUGUCAUGUGUAUGAGUGAAUAUAACAACUAGAACCGCAAUUGGAUUUUAAAAGCCUAAGUAUUGUAUCCUUGUAAGAAGAUACAAAGAGAAACACUC